rnacentral:misc_RNA from 1 species
AGAAAGUAGUAAGGGCGCUCAG